CUUUCAGCAACGGAUCUCUUGGCUCUCGCAUCGAUGAAGAACGCAGCGAAAUGCGAUAAGUAAUGUGAAUUGCAGAAUUCAGUGAAUCAUCGAAUCUUUGAACGCACCUUGCGCUCCUUGGUACUCCGAGGAGCAUGCCUGUUUGAGUGUCA
rnacentral:rRNA from 4 species